AGGACGAACGCUGGCGGCGUGCUUAACACAUGCAAGUCGAGCGGUAAGGCCUUUCGGGGUACACGAGCGGCGAACGGGUGAGUAACACGUGGGUGAUCUGCCCUGCACUUCGGGAUAAGCCUGGGAAACUGGGUCUAAUACCGGAUAUGACCUCAGGUUGCAUGACUUGGGGUGGAAAGAUUUAUCGGUGCAGGAUGGGCCCGCGGCCUAUCAGCUUGUUGGUGGGUAAUGGCCUACCAAGGCGACGACGGUAGCCGACCUGAGAGGGUGACCGGCCACACUGGGACUGAGACACGGCCCAGACUCCUACGGGAGGCAGCAGUGGGGAAUAUUGCACGAAUGGGCGAAAGCCUGAUGCAGCGACGCCGCGUGAGGAUGACGGCCUUCGGGUUACGUUAAACCGUCUUUCAGACGAGGACGAAGGCGACAAGUGACGGUACUAGCAGAAGAA
rnacentral:rRNA from 1 species